AGAAUCAACGCUGGCGGCGUGCCUAACACAUGCAAGUCGCACGAGAAAGGGGAGCAAUCCCUGAGUAAAGUGGCGCACGGGUGAGUAACACGUGAAUAAUCUACCUCCGAGUGGGGAAUAACUGAGAGAAAUCUUAGCUAAUACCGCAUAAUACCCACGGGUCAAAGCAGCAAUGCGCUUGGAGAGGAGUUCGCGGCCGAUUAGUUAGUUGGCGGGGUAAUGGCCCACCAAGACGAUGAUCGGUAUCCGGCCUGAGAGGGCGCACGGACACACUGGAACUGAAACACGGUCCAGACUCCUACGGGAGGCAGCAGUGGGGAAUUUUGCGCAAUGGGGGAAACCCUGACGCAGCAACGCCGCGUGGAGGAUGAAGCCCCGUUGGGUGUAAACUCCUUUCGAUCGGGAAGAUAAUGACGGUACCGAUAUAAGAAGCCCGGCUAACUUCGUGCCAGCAGCCGC
rnacentral:rRNA from 1 species